GGGCCGGGCGAACGGAUCGCAGCCAGGCCUCGUAACCUUGCACUGGGAGUUCGAGUCUCCCCCGGCCCACCA
rnacentral:tRNA from 1 species